CUUCCCUCAAGGGGUACCCUUUUAUUCCAGGUAUUCUUGUCAAAAAUGUCAAAUGCAAUUAUGCAAAUUCAACUCAAAAAUCCUUCAAACAAUGGUGGUUGUGGAUAUCAUCCCUUCAUAACAAAGUCAUCCCCCAAUCCCAUCCCCUUCUCUCUCUCUCUCUCUCUCUCUCUCUCUCUCUCAUCAUUUGCCAGUUACAAACACACUCUUUUCAUGACAAUUGAGGUGGAGGAAUUCCAUAUGACCCUUCAAAAUCAACCCAAAGAAUCCCAAAACCAGAUAUCCAACCUUCUGCUCAAAUGGGGGCUUCAAAGCCGUCGCCUUUGAUACCAGAAACGCCGGCAGAUUCGCAGCAACUGAAAGGGUCUCAUAUAAUUCAUCUGCAGAAUCAGAUUUCGUUUGCGUUUUCGUGUCUUCUUCUGCAGGUGUGCUUUUUUGUUUGCCAUUUUUGUUGAUUAAUAUUUCUUUGCAUUUUGGGGUCCUCCUGUUUUUCCUUUGUCUUUGGGGUUUUGUGGAUGAUCCGUUUGUUUAUAUGUGCAAUUGAUGCUUUAGAUGUCGAUAUUAUUAAUCAAGUUUUGAUUUUUAACUGGAGCUGCUUGAAUUAUAGAGAUGUUUAUGAUCUUGUUAAGGUCUGGAUUAAGAUGCUAAUGAGGUAGAUUAUAGAUUUCUGGUGUUGGGUCUUAUGCUUAUAAACCCCGGAGUCCCGAAAGAACAAGAUCUCAUUUGAGCUAUCUUGUAGGAUAUGUAGUAUGCUGGUGUAUGUUGAAUUGUUGAUUUAUUUCAAAGACAUUUACACAAGAAGGAAUGAGACUAGUAAUCCGCAGCGUUUGGUUGAGUUAUGUCAUUUGGAAGUGUUUUUGGCGUAGAAGAAUAUACACUAGGAGGGUUGAUUCUGUUUAUUUCACAUCGAUUGUAUCUUCGAGGAAAGAAGAGUCUAAAUAUUCUAACCUCACUCCAACUAAUACCGAGACAUUUUGUGAUAAAACUCCAUACUUGAUGGAUUGUGCAGGUGGUAAUUACUAAGUUGGGGACGAUAUCGGUGUUGUUAGAAGUGAGCCUUUGGCCCGUGUCUCUCAUAAUUUGACAGUUUCUGUUGUAGAGUGCAUUUUGAGAUUGAUUUGAUUCGUAGACACUGUGAUUAGUGUAAGUUCAUGUCUUUUCCUCCGAUUGAUCACUUUUGGGAACAUGUAGAGAGCAAUCGUUGUGUUGAUCGUUUUAAUCUUUUGGUAUGAAGUAGAAAAUUCAAAAAAAAAUUUGUGCACAGGACAUUCUGUUGUUUCACAGGACCUUUGAUAGUUAGUUAAACCAUUUUAUUAGAUUUUGGUUGCAAAUUGGAGACAAGUUUAGCUGCCUAAUGCAGACCUGGUUUGGUCUUUCGACUUUCUGCUAGCUCUCUUUCAACUUGUGCCUUUGGGAUCCAGUUUGCUGAUGGUGUAUGAUUCUCUCCAAGGUAGUUUGGACAUUUGUAUUGAAUACUUUGUUUAUACAAGUUAUUCAUGAAACCGUACUUAGUUCAUCGGUAGUACUUCGACAGUAGUAGAACAAUCGUUUCUUUUAUAGUCGGUGUACUCAACUUAUUCUGUGCAUCCAAAUUUACUUUUGCUUUUGAGAGUAGAAUAGCCAUGUUUCUAGCAUCCUUUUGCAUCAAGAUCCAUUUAUAUAUGGAAAUUUGUUAAGCUUUGCAAGGGUAUAGUUCCUACGAUUUGAAUGUCGAUGUAAUCACAAAAUAUGUUACGGUUUGUAUUUUCUUCUGACAAAUGUUACUGUUUGUGUUUUCUUUUGACAUGUUCGUCGAUGCAUGAAAAACCUCAGCCUGGAUUUCAACAGUAAUUAGAGCUCAUCCUUUCAACAACGAUGAACUUAAAUAUUUGUUUGUGCAGGGUGCUCUCAUCUCUGGCUCUACCUGGUGUAGUAAACCCCGCUUCGUGUUCAGGUGUUUAUCAAUUUAAUCAUCACCAUAUCAAGGGAAACCAGAAGGAAUUUUUACUCGAAGAAGAAAGUGGUAUUUUGCCACGAAUGCGAAUUUGUUUGCUUUCUUCGCAGGAUUUAUGUACGCAGUUUAAACAUGCUACAAGAGAUCAACACCGCAAGCUGUAAAUCUCCAGCUUCAUACAGGAGGGAAUGAAUCAGGACAAGUUCUUGAUGUCAUUUGCUAUAAUCAACUUUACAUUUGAGCAACAAUCUGACAGGUUCUGAAAGAAACG
rnacentral:lncRNA from 1 species